GGGGAGUGAAAUAGAACCUGAAACCGUGUGCUUACAAGUAGUCAGAGCCCGUUAAUGGGUGAUGGCGUGCCUUUUGUAGAAUGAACCGGCGAGUUACGAUUUGAUGCAAGGUUAAGCAGUAAAUGUGGAGCCGUAGCGAAAGCGAGUCUGAAUAGGGCGUUUAGUAUUUGGUCGUAGACCCGAAACCAGGUGAUCUACCCUUGGUCAGGUUGAAGUUCAGGUAACACUGAAUGGAGGACCGAACCGACUUACGUUGAAAAGUGAGCGGAUGAACUGAGGGUAGCGGAGAAAUUCCAAUCGAACCUGGAGAUAGCUGGUUCUCUCCGAAAUAGCUUUAGGGCUAGCCUCAAGUGAUGAUUAUUGGAGGUAGAGCACUGUUUGGACGAGGGGCCCCUCUCGGGUUACCGAAUUCAGACAAACUCCGAAUGCCAAUUAAUUUAACUUGGGAGUCAGAACAUGGGUGAUAAGGUCCGUGUUCGAAAGGGAAACAGCCCAGACCACCAGCUAAGGUCCCAAAAUAUAUGUUAAGUGGAAAAGGAUGUGGCGUUGCCCAGACAACUAGGAUGUUGGCUUAGAAGCAGCCAUCAUUUAAAGAGUGCGUAAUAGCUCACUAGUCGAGUGACACUGCGCCGAAAAUGUACCGGGGCUAAACAUAUUACCGAAGCUGUGGAUUGUCCUUUGGACAAUGGUAGGAGAGCGUUCUAAGG
rnacentral:rRNA from 1 species